rnacentral:misc_RNA from 1 species
UUUUUUUAAAAAAAAAUUUUUUUUCUAUAAUGUGCAGCAUGAUUUAAUGGGUAAAGAUAUAAUAGAUCGAGCAAAAUAAUAAGAAGAUAACAAACCAAGCCCCCAACCCUUAAACCAAUCAAACCCCAUAACAUUAAACCCAACUCAUAAACAAACCCUAUGAGUGCUGCUCUAGCAAAGCAUUCAAAGCUAUACAGAGCCGCCAUUGGUCACGGCUGUUGCCGGAGAUGGAACCCAUAGAGAGUUGUUCUUGGCUGUUGCUAGAAAUAGAAUAAACUAACAGGCCAACACUACGACACUACCUUUGCAACUAAGAUAAUUGCCUGUUGAACAAAAGCACCGCCUUGGACAUCAACCCACCAAUUGUUGGACAAGCUCAACAAAUCUGAAUUACCUAUCCCCAGGCAUGCAUGGACCCUCUAGAAGACAAUGGCCACCGACUUCAUCUGGUGGUGCUGCUCCAAAGAAACAAAACUAUUACAAAGGUCUCAAGAAAUAGCAUAUAAAUACUGGGAUGAGACAAAAUCGAUGAGCAAUGCCUUCCCUUGUCCGUAGGCAAGGGAAGCAAACGAAAACUCAAUGAAAAACUCUGUUGGACCAAGAAACGCAAACUCAAUCCGAAAAGAGUCUCUCUCUACAACUUACAAAGAAAGCUUGCCACGUACUAGUUUAUGCCUGUAAGCGUAACCUUGCUAGCUAUAGCCAUUGUACAUCCAUCCCUGCUGACCUGAUAAAAGAAAUGUGAGAAAAUAUCAAUUUUUUGGAUUUCAUUUUUCUCUCUUUU